rnacentral:lncRNA from 1 species
GUGCACCUUAAGCACAAGCUUAAGGCAGCGUUUAGAUUCAUAUACGGCUUUCUUAAGAUAUACUUCAAAAUUUGAUCUUAUCUAAGACAUGUGGCUGGGAUAAAUAUUCAUAAUUUUAACUUAAGACAAGCUUGAGCAUUAGAUAUUUCUGAUGUAUUCAUAUUCAAAUAAGACGGUCUUAUAAAAUACCUUAACCUUACUUUUCAUCCAAAUAAGAGAGUUUUUUUCUAAGUCAUCAUUUCAGUUGACUUGAGAUAAUCUUAAAUGUAUUUACAGUGAAAAAAGUGGUUCAAAUAAUGAAUUUUUUGGGGUUAUAUAAUAUUGACAUCGACGAUAAUAAUGAUAUCAAUUUUGAUUUGGACGACGAUGAUUUAAUCAUACGUAUUCCAAAACGUUAUAUUCGAGAUGUGCAAGAUCCUUUUGAUUUUUGUUCAGACAUCGAAUUCAAGUAAAGAUAUAGAUUUGACAAGGAUAAUGUUAAAUUCGGAAUAUUACCUCUUAUAGAACAAAAUUUAACUAAAGUCAAUAAACGAGGAUUACCAAUCCCACCAAUUUUUCAAUUAUUAUGAUUGCGAUUUUAUGCAACUGCAAGUUUUCAGCUCAUUUUAGGUGAUACCAUGACAGUAUCACAACCAACAGUUUCCAGAAUAGUUUUCGGGUGAGCGUUUUACUUGCAAGCGAAAUUCAUGAUUACAUUAAAAUGCCUCGAACUCAAGCAGCAAAAUUAGAAAACCAGAGACUUUUUGAACGUUUGGGAUUUGGUAAUGGAGCAAUUGGAAUACCCGGGGUUGAUGGAGCAAUUGAUUGCACUUAUAUCCGAUGAGUUCAUACAAUGUUUCAAAAUAUUAAUGAAAUCAACAGAAAUCGAAAGGGCUAUUUUUCUCUGAAUGUACAAGCGAUUGUUGGCUCAUGGAUGGAAUUUUUAGAUAUUGUUCCAGAAUGGCCUGGUAGCGCUCAUGAUAGUCGAAUUUUUCAAAAUUCUCGAAUUUACAUGAGAUAUUCUGAACGUGAACUAACUGGGAUACUUGUCUACGUAUUCUUGAUAAUUUGUAAUCAUAAAUUAAAGUCACAAUUUUAUCUCAGUUGAAUUCCGAACUGUAAAUGUAAUAAAUUCAGAAUUGUAAAUAUAAUGGAUUCUAUAAAAAUUUAAA